rnacentral:lncRNA from 1 species
AGAAAAUCUGCACUGCUGGGGUGAAUGAGGUGUGUCACCAGGCUGGGGGAUGUGCACUCAAGCCUGGAAGUGAUGCUCACAGUGAAGAUCAGAGCUCCACUGAGGAGAACAGCAGCCGUUCCCAGAAACAGCGAGGCUGGAACUCUUGGCACAGCCAAGUUCACAUCAGGAAAACCAACUUCACCAUCUUCUCCUGAAGAAUCAGCCGCAAAGGCUCUUCCUCUCCAGUCCUCUUUCUGGCAACGAUCCUCAGAUUUCCAAAAAACAGGUUCUUCGCAAUAAACC